GGAAUUUUGAGCAUAUCCAAGGGUAGUUUUACGAUCCCUCUGGUAGUCUGACCCUUCUUCUGUGUCAUGAACCUAAGAAAACACUCAUUUGAACCCGGUUGCUCUCCUAUUCGGCCUUUGGAAGUAGCUGAUGUGAAAGGUGGAAUCUGACAAGGCUUUCGUAUAGGAAUUUUGAGCAUAUCCAAGGGUAGUUUUACGAUCCCUCUGGUAGUCUGACCCUUCUUCUGUGUCAUGAACCUAAGAAAACACUCAUUUGAACUCGGUUGCUCUCCUAUUCGGCCUUUGGAAGUAGCUGAUGUGAAAGGUGGAAUCUGACAAGGCUUUCGUAUAGGAAUUUUGAGCAUAUCCAAGGGUAGUUUUACGAUCCCUCUGGUAGUCUGACCCUUCUUCUGUGUCAUGAACCUAAGAAAACACUCAUUUGAACCCGGUUGCUCUCCUAUUCGGCCUUUGGAAGUAGCUGAUGUGAGGGGUGAAAGCGUCUGACAAUACCGAGUCCACGGGAGGAGCUUUCAAAACACCCGCUGACGGACUAAUUGUAUGAGUGAUUGGUUCUUUUCCAUAAGCAAUGUUUUCAAGGAAGGGGGGAACGUUGCGGGCCCGGAGGUGGUGGUGGUGGUGGUGGUGUAGGUGGUGGUUAUGGAGAUAGGGUAACGGUGGUGAUGAAGCAAGUGGUAGCCAUGGCGGUGGUGGAGAACGGUGAUGAAAAGGAAGACAGACGGAAUUGAUGGUAAGUAGAGGUGUUGGGAGUGGUAGUAGAAGUGGUGGAAGGUGGUGGUGGAGAGAGAGCUGAUGGGGAAGAAGUGGUGAUCGUGAAGGUGGGUGGAGGUGGUCGGUGUUGAGGCUUGCGGCUAUAGGAAAAGAAAUGAUUGUGGAGGUGGUGGUGGUGGAUGGCGGGUGACUGAUAACAAAGGAAACAUAGUGAUGGAAAGAGAAAGAAUGGUGGUAGUGGUGGAGGGUGAUGAUGAUGACGUUACAAAGGUAGUGAUGACGAAAAAAGUAGUAGUCAUCGGGUGGUGGUGCAAACGAUCGUGGAGGUGAAGAGGGUACAGAAGGGUAAUGAUGAGGGUGGUUGGGGUAAUGGUGCUGAAGACAGAAAGAAGAUGGAGUUGCCUAGUAGAAGUGGUGAUGGCGGUGUAAUGAUGGUAAAAGAGGUGAGAAUUGUGAUGACGGGAGUGGUGAUGCAGAAAGAAGAUGGAGUUGCCUAGUAGAAGUGGUGAUGGCGGGGUAAUGAUGGUAAAAGAGGUGAGAAUUGUGAUGACGGGAGUAGUGAAGCAGAAGGAAGAUGACGUGGCCGAAAAAAAAAAAGACUGGUGUUGCCUGGUGUAAGUAAGUGGUGAUGGGGGUGAUAAUGACGGUUAACCUGGUACCUGCGGGGAUCAUAUUUCUUAAAGGCCUCUCUAAGCGAGGAUAGUGAGAAAAAAUCAUCACUCACGCACACCAUUUCAUUAUAUAUAUCAAAGCAUUUGUGAUCGGUUUAUGCAUCAUCUAUUUUGGGGGGUUUAUAUCAUGGCACAAAUUUGGCCCGUCGCUGCUACACGGUAAAGCCACAAAUUUGGCCCGUCGCUGCUACCAGGUUGAGGAGGUGAGAAAAAUGUUUUUUUUUUUUUUUAAGUAAAGAAAAAAGCUCGAGGGCUAAAAAUAAUAAUAAUAAUAAUAAUAAUAAUAAUAAUAAUAAUAAUAAUAAUAAUAAUAAUAAUAAUAAUAAUAAUAAUAAUAAUAAUAAAAAGCCCGCUAAUCCCUGGCCAUAAAAAAAAGUUUAGAAGAUAGUACAGAUAGUGAUGUGACCAAGACUUGUGAUGCCGGGCGGGGAGAUCAGUCUAAGAGGCGAGGGUCAACGUGGGUCAAGAUGAAGGUCCGGCCCGCCCUGGGUAUUCCAUCGCCAACCGCCCUCCGCCCACAACGGCGACGCCCACCUGGAACACCACCGCCACCUCCGCCUCAGCCUCCACUCCACCCUUGUAAGACGUGUAAGACAACCCUCCAGUAUCGCUUCCCUCCAAUCCACCUCUCGUUAAUGUCUUGUUUCCUCUGUACCUGUAACCCAUCGUACAACACGCACCUCCGCCUCCGCCCCUACCACCUGUACGCCUUGGCCUCCCUUCAGCCUCCUCUCCACUCAUGUAAAACUACCCUUGUAUCUUUCUUUCGCUGCCCUCCCGUACAGAACGUGGUGAUUCCCAACUCCUCUGUAUAUUCAAGUUCCUCCACAGUUCCUCCACGCCUCCACUUCGGCCCCUAACAACCUCCAUGCCUCAACCUCCACUCCGCUCUUGUUAACAAUAUACGCUCGUCUCUUCCUUUUGCUCCAAUAUACAACGUGGUGAUUCCAUUUUCCUUUGUGUACCAGUUCCUCAUUGCACUUCAAAUCCCUAAGCCUCAGUCCCAACGACCUAUACGCCUCUGCCUCCCUCCUCUUCCUAUCUUGUAAAACCACCCUUGUAUCAUCCGUUUCCUUCCCAUACACAACGACGUAAUUCCAUAUUCCUUUGUACUCGCACUACAACCCCCUACGCCUCUGUCUCCCUCCUCUUCCUAUUUUGUAAAACCACCCUUGUAUCAUCCGUUUCCUUCCCAUACACAACGACGUAAUUCCAUAUUCCUUUGUACUCCAGUUCCUCAUCGCACUACAACCCCCUACGCCUCAGUCCUCACUCCACCCUUGUAAAACUAUACCCUCGACUUCCUUCCAUGACCUACGCCUCUCACUUACGCCUUAUUUCCCUUGUAUCAGCCACCCAGGGCCCGUCCUCCUGGGCAUACCACCAUCUUUCACGUGUACUAAGGAAGCAGCAUAAACCUCUACUCCAGCGGAACGGUGAAGAUAAGACGUGUUCUCAGGAGGGACGACAUGGUAAGGGGAUGACAUAACAGAGGGAGGAAACCAUGGAUACGCAGGUCGACAAUGCUUGGUUGUCAGUUGUCAGCCCGCCCAGAAACGUCCCUCGCCCUUUGUCCUUGUCCCCUGUCAACAACACGACGUCAACUAGAGCCGCGGAGAUGUACUCGUAAACAUUCCAGCAGGAGACAACAACAGUACAUGCAGACGUCGCUAUGAAGGGCGCGAGAGUUAAGUCGGAAGACGGCGAGUGCGUAAAAGGGCACAAGGAGAGAGAGGACGCAGAAGGACGAAGGGCGGAUACAUUUUUGAGACAAGAUUCAUAUCCUCCGCCGUGAUGCAAUAACUGGACCAUUAUUUCUAUCGAGAGAGGAAUUUUGAUCUCUCGCAACGUUGGCGCCGACAAGGACACAGUUGGAAAGGUCAGUGUCCGGGAAAGGCCCGUAUUCUAGAGGGACGUCUUAAGGACAACUAACAGAACACUACGUAAUUAGGAGGUAUUUCCUCCGUGCGGUCUUCCCCGGUCACCCUCGAACCGCUGACCGAGGACUGAAGAAACCAAGAGUGUGGGGGACGUCCCUUGUGCGGAAGAUUGAGAAAGACCAGGACAUGAGGAGCGAACAGGCCCUCGCACCACCAGGACACGGAGACUGGCGGGCUUAAUGAUUGUAAUGCACGUCAACACCUCCAGGCUCGCGAGGGACAAAGGACGAGGGGGAGGCGGGGAAGGAGCAGCGAACACAAAGAGUCCAGAGUUAACAACCAUGAUUAUGAAGAGUAGGAAAGAUCGGCAGGUACGCAGAGAGGAAUUUCCAUCCUGCACGCUUUUCCACUGCACAUCUACACCUCCAGGCAUACAGGGACAAAGGAAGGAGAGCACGGAAGGAGGAGAUGACACAGAGGAAAGAGUCAAAAGCCAUGAUUUACAGGAGUACGAAAGACAGGCAGGUUCGUAGCGAGGGGGGCUUCCCAACCUAUACGUUCUUCCCCCUGCCACGCUUGAGCUCUUCUUGAAUCACGCAAAGGAGCCUCUAGUCAACAGCCACAGUUACCCAAAGGAAAGAGAAGCCAUGUAGGUUGGCGAGAGGGAGUCCCAACCUGUACGUUAUUCCCUCUACCACAUACAUCACUUCGGUUCGCUUGAACUCUUCUUGAAUCACACAAAGGGACCUCUAUUUAACAGCCACAAUUUUACCAAAGGAUUCCUGGGAAAAGCCGUGCAGGUUCUUAAGAGGAAAUUCCCAACCAAAACGUUUUCUCCACGCCACAUACAUCACUUCGGUUUGCUUGGGAUCUUCUUGAAUCACACAUGGGGACCUCUAUUUAACAGCCACAAUUUUACCAAAGGAUUCCUGGGAAAAGCCGUGCAGGUUCUUGAGAGGAAAUUCCCAACCAAAACGUUUUCUCCACACAACAUGUAUCACUUUGGUUUGCUAUGAAUCUUCUUGAAUCACACAAAGGGGUCUCUAGUCAACGGCCACGAUUAACCAAAGGAAGGAAAAGUCGUGCAUGUUAGCGAUAAGGAAUUUCCAACCAAAACGUUUUCUCCACGCCACAUGUACUACGUCAGCAACACAAAGAGGGUAAGACCUUGACGGGCCAUGAAUAAAAAGAGCAACGAGAGUACCUAUACGUGGCGGGCUGACGGGAAGACGAAAUAAUGCGGAAGAACGUCGCUGUUAGUAUACUGAAAGGCAUAAACGUUCCGAAGAAUUGAAAACCACGAACGAGGAAGAGUUGGUGGAAGCUUUCAAAGGUACACAAUGGGAAAAGGAAGACUGUGAGGGAAGGGGAAGAGGAGUGUGGGAAACUUUGAGCGCGUGAGAGUAUGGUGAGGGAAGGAAGGCAGAGGCGGUGGGAGCGUGUGUUUGUUAUUUGUUUGUUGUCUAGGGGAAAGUUUGCUUGUGAGUGUUUGUGCGAGCGAGUUCAGGAGUGCGGCAGAAUGUUAAGCGAGGCAGACAUGAGAGAAACCUUAAUAGGAGGCAAGCCGGCCGUGACCGAUACUCAGAAGGGGUGAGGAGUGGGGAGUAGUGUUGGGGGAGGUUGACUAAGGAGGGGAGAGGCCUCGUCUUUCCUCUGCCCUUGAUCAAGAAGCCCCAUUUUAACCCUCAGUCCCCGUGUCUCCCAUCUCGUCAUAUCAUCUUGAGUUCGCGUUCGUUCACCAUAUUGGGGGUAUUGCAACAUCAGCGCUUCUACACACACACACACACACACACACACACACACACACACACAAGAAAGCAGGACCACUAGGACACAUUAUACAUACAAACAUAAACAGACAAAAGACGUAUAGCCUACAUUACACAUUUAAAUACAAAGAAACAAACACACAUACAUACAUACACACAUACAUAGAAGUAAACGGAUAUGAAUACUUAAAAAAACUCGACAUGGUAAAAUACUAAUAUCCAUAAAUCAGAAGAAAUAAACGUAUGAGGAGAAUAAUGAUAAACCAGUGACUAGAAAAACAAAUAUUUCCGAAAUUUGGAUGGUGGUGGUGGUGGUGGUGGUGAUAAGAAGCAGGGUAUGGGUACUGGCGGUGGUGGUGGUGGUAGGCUAUACUGUUGUUGCUGUUGUUGUUGAUGCUGUUGAAGAGUAAUUUACUGUUGAAUGGGCUGUAACUGAUCAGGAGUCAACAUUGCAGUGACGUAGUGGGAGGGAAGUGGAGGGACUGUGUACUGCUUCAGACUUUAGGUAAAUAUAUCUAGGUUAGCAAAGAAAGGACUGUAUGACUCACUGAAACCUGACCGGACUUAUAAAUAACUUGUGAGAGAAGACUUCCUGGGACUGAGAUAUGACGUGGGUCCCGAGAGAGCGCUUCAGGGCAGGGGAUGGUGACAGUUGGAACAUAUUAAGUAGCUGGAUCGUUUAUGGAAUUUGUUGAGAAAGGAGAAGCGCUGAUGUUGCAAUACCCUCAAUAUAGUGAACGAACGCGAACUUCAGAUAUGACGAGAUGGGAGAUACGGGGACUGAGGGUCAAAAUGGGGAUUCUUGAUCAAGGGCAAAGGAAAAGCUAAGUGAGGACAUGAGAUGAAGUGGAGAAAUGAGGAAACAUGAAGGUUGAUGGGUGACUUCUAAGACUGAGGAAAAGCUGAGGGGCACUAAUAGAAAACAAGAGACUGAGUGAAUACAAUGAGUAUAUAUGAGGAAAACAAGGGAUUGGAGCUGAUAAGGGAUUCUGGGGAUGAAGACAAACUAAAAAAAAAAAAGACAAUACCAUAAUCAAUGUGAACAAGAAAUUAAACAAAAUGAACAGAAGGAAUAUGAAGAAGAAGGACAUAUGGGAAAAACGGGAAAACAAAGGAUGGAAGCUGAUAAUGGAUUUGCGGGAUGAAGAUAAACUAAACAAAAGGACAAUAUAAGAGUCAACGCGAACAUCAAAAAUAAAAAAAUAGAGAGAGGAAGAAUAUGAAGAAGAAGAAGAGGGGUUAAUGGAGUGUGAUAUUGUGGCCGACAAAAAAAAAAAGUAAAUGAGUAAAUAAUAAAAUAAAUAAAAAGGAAAUAUAGAAGUAAGUAAAAUCAAAAGGGCAGAGGAGAAAAAGGAAGAAGAAGGGUUAAUAAAGGGUGAC